rnacentral:rRNA from 1 species
UUCCCCUAGUAACUGCGAGUGAAAAGGGAAGAGCCCAGCGCCGAAGCCGCCGUCCACAAAGAAGGGCGGAGGGCAAUGUGGCGUUAAGGGAGAGCCUCUUUGACCAGACGUUUCGUUGAUCGGACCGCGGAAGCCCGAGUCCCCCUGACCGGGGCCACGGCCCAUGGCGGGUGCAAGGCCUCUUCGGCUUCGUUCGACGGUUCGGAGGUUGCUGGCUCCUUCCCUCAGAGUCGGGUUGCUUGAAAGUGCAGCUCUAAGCGGGUGGUAAACUCCACCUAAGGCUAAAUACAACCAUGAGACCGAUAGCGAACAAGUACCGUGAGGGAAAGUUGCAAAGAACUUUGAAGAGAGAGUUCAAGAGUACGUGAAACCGCUCGGAGGCAAACGGGUGGGCCCUCGAAGGUCGAACGGGGGGAUUCAGCCUGUCGGCGUCACGGUUCGUCCGUUCCAGUUGAAAAGCACUCGUGCGAAACGGAUCCCUUCGGGGACCGGGCUGCGGACUCGAACUCGCGCCGGCUCGUGCACUUCCCCCUUAGUAGGACGCCGCGACCGGUCGGGUCAAAAAUCAAAAAAAGUCUUGCGGCCAUGAGGCGAGAUAAACCAUGGGGCAGGUGUCCGUUUCCGUCAGGGUCGCGGCGCGGUUCGUUCUCUCUCGGGGGGGCGGAUUUAGCGUCGCGGCCCGCGGUCGGAGUUAUAGCCUCUUCUCGACCCGUGCACCGCCACCCGACCGACAAAUGGUCACGAAUCCGUUGACGCGUGCCCGCGUAACACAAAAGCGCUCGCCCUCGUCCUGGGCAGGCAGGAUGCGCGAGUAAAAAUUCCUCUUCAACCGGAAACGGUGAGGGAAUCCGACGGACGCCGGUACAAAAAACCACAAAGGCGGCCGUUGGCUCCGCGUCUGCCGCUGGCCCACGGGGAAUCGGGAUCUGGCGUGGAGGCAUCGCUCGCGGUCGGCGGCGAGNNNNNNNNNNNNNNNNNNNNNNNNNNNNNNNNNNNNNNNNNNCAUGUACGCAAGUCGUAGGGUCUGCUUCCAAAAGAGCUAAACCCGACGGCGAAAUGAAAGUGAAGGCCGCCGAUCCCCCCUCUCUGGCUUAGCUGGCGCCCCACUCGUGGGUCAACGCUGGCGGCCACUGCUGGGCUGGGUGAGGAACAGAACGGCCGAGGCGAGAUCCUAAUUUAAGAACAUGAAAAAAAAGCCUAAAUGGAAACCGGGCAUUGAAGGAACGUCCAUCCGUUGCGCUCGGAUCCCUCACGGGAGACGAGAACAGCACGGGGGCGGCCCGGGGGCGCAUCGCCGGCCCGUCUCGAUCGCUGCUCCUCUCGUAUCAACUCUGCCGACGCAACCGGGCUCUGGCCGUGCGUUUUUCUCGUGGUUACGGCUUCUCGGAGCUAGUGCCGCGAGGAGACCGCGGUCUACGAAGCACGGCUCUGCCAAGCGGGGGCGGGGGAGAAACCAGUCGGCGAGGCGGAGCAAGAGCGUACACGUUGGGACCCGAAAGAUGGUGAACUAUGCCCGGGCAGGACGAAGCCAGAGGAAACUCUGGUGGAGGUCCGCAGCGAUUCUGACGUGCAAAUCGAUCGUCGGACCUGGGUAUAGGGGCGAAAGACUAAUCGAACCGUCUAGUAGCUGGUUCCCUCCGAAGUUUCCCUCAGGAUAGCUGGCGCUCGGGAACCAGUCUCAUCCGGUAAAGCGAAUGAUUAGAGGCAUUGGGGCCGAAACGGCCUCAACCUAUUCUCAAACUUUCAAUGGGUGAGAUGUCCGGCUUGCUCGAACAAAACCGCAAACUUCUUUUUUCCCGGGCAACCGGGAAUUAGGAGAUCAAUUUGCGGGAUUGAAGCACGGACAUCGGAUGCGAGUGCCAAGUGGGCCACUUUUGGUAAGCAGAACUGGCGCUGUGGGAUGAACCAAAAGCCGGGUUACGGCGCCCGAUGCGGACGCUUAUCAGACCCCAUGAAAGGUGUUGGUUGCUAUUGACAGCAGGACGGUGGCCAUGGAAGUCGGAAUCCGCUAAGGAGUGUGUAACAACUCACCUGCCGAAGCAACUAGCCCUGAAAAUGGAUGGCGCUCCAGCGUCGAGCCUAACCCCGGCCGCCGGACAGGCAGAGACAAAACAAAACGCCGGCUGCGAACACACAAACACGCACGUCCGAGCGAAAAAAAUCGAUGCCCCGGCGAGUAGGAGGGUCGCGGUGGCGAGCGUUGAAGGGAACGGGCGCGAGCCUGCCUGGAGCCGCCACCGGUGCAGAUCUUGGUGGUAGUAGCAAAUACUCGAGUGAGAACCUUGAGGACUGAAGUGGAGAAGGGUUCCAUGUGAACAGCAGUUGAACAUGGGUCAGUCGGCCCUAAGGAAUAGGGGAAACCCGUUCCGAAAAAAACCGGAAAUCAUAAAAUAAUCCUAAAGAACAUAAAUGACCGGUAAAAGACCGAAAGGGAAUCGGGUUAAUAUUCCCGAACCCGGAUGCGGAGAUCGACCCUCGCGGGUCUGAAGCGGCAACGCGUAACGAACUCGGAGAUUGCCGGCGGGGGCCCCGGGAAGAGUUUUCUUUUCUUUGUAAAGGACGCACUCCCUGGAAUCGGCUCGCCCGGAGAGAGGGAUAUUGUUCCUGUAAAGCACCGCGGCUCUUGCGGUGUCCGGAGCGCUCUCGCCGGCCCUUGAAAAUCCGAGGGAGUGAACAAUGAUUUCCGCACCGGACCGUACCCAUAUCCGCAGCA